UCUGUCUCUCAAACAUAAAUAAACGUUAAACAAAUUUUUUAAAAAUUAAAAAAGAAGAAAUAUAGACCUCUCACGAGCUUUGUGUCUCAGAUUCUUGAAUAACUCACCACUCCUCAUGUUACAAUCAAUCCAUCACUUAGUGAGUUCGUAUUUACAUUCCAUUAGUCACAAAUUAAUGCGGGCAUAGCCCUCUUCUAGGUAAAAAUUGACCAUGCAGGUGAAAUCCUGCUGACUCCCGCCUUCCAGCCAACAUUUGGAUGUACUGGAGCCUACAUUAACCCUAUGAUCUCAGUAGAGGGUCUUAGCACUUGGUGAUUUAUAUGCGUGGGCGCUAUCUUCCACCUUAAGGAACAAAGACCAGGAGUCUGGGCUAUUUGUAGCCACCAGAUAAUGGUCCAUGAAUAUGGAGUUUAUUGAAGAAAUGCUGAGUUUGUGACAUGGAGUUUCCCAGGCAACUUUAGUUCUGCUCCUCCAUGCCUGUGCCUGAAGAGCCCCCCUGAACUGCCUCUCCCCCACUUACCUCCUUGGCCACGGCCACUUGCUCCGAGGUCCCGCCGGUGUCCACGAAAACUCAGUGUUUCGGAGUGCUGGUAAAAUCAGAGUGAAUGGAACACCAAGUCGAGGGGGAUGCCAUUUGGGCGAUGUUGUAGGCCAAGAGGAGGUCUCGGAGCCAGGAACAAUAAUGCUGGAAAUGAGUCCUCCUGUUUACCGCCCCUCCUCUCUUUCUUCCUCCUCCUCCUCUUCUUCCUCCGGCCUCAUCCCCAUCACCCCCACCCCUACUGCCGUCAGCAGCAGCACCGCCAUCAUGAAUUUAUGAAGAAAACUGGGAUAUGUGUAAUAAGUCUUCAUCAACAUUACUGGCCACCACUUCCAACGUAAAGACCCGAAGCAGUGUUCUUCACUGGAAUGUUCUCCCUCUCAUCCCACACGAAGUAGACCGAUUAUGCUGACAGAAAACCAGAACGAGAGCCAUCAUUCCUUCCUCCAGGCUCCGCAAAAGGACAGCCGUCUACUCAACCACCUACCAAACUGCUGCUAAGGCUUCAGAAUGUCUUGAAAACGAAACCAGAUAAAAGAGCAGAUCGGAAGGGAGCUCGGCUGUCUUCACACACGCUUGUGUGAAGACACAGAAGCACUGGGGUAAAAGAAAGGAGAGCCUGGUCAGGCCAGACAGCACAGGGCCGAUUUGUGUCUCCCUCCGCAUCUGGACCCGGGGACAUGGUCCGAGCGGGCGCCUCAGGAUCUGCCUCACACAUAAACACAUGACGAAUACAGAGCUGCCAUGAAGGCUUUAGCUCCGCCGGGAGAUCUCAGACUUGAGAACCUGCUGAUACAAACAAGCGGAGAGGCUUGGUCUCAAGUCAGAGGCUUGUUUUUGGAAGCGGAGAGCUGACGGACAGCCAUGGCUCUCCACAGUGCCCUAAUUGCGCCCUUGCCGGGAGGCCUAGCGAGCCCUCUUGGGGCCCCUGGGGCUUGGAGCCAGCCCUGCUUAGGUAAGAGCACUGCAAAUGAGCCCCCUUGGGCCUGCAGACGCGUAAACAGCUUUCCACAGACAUUCAGACACAAAGUCUGCGUUCACACGAGCAGUUCAGACCUGUGAGUGCAGGAGAGGGGCUGGGCCUGAGGAGUGAGCCCUGGGCAGGGGUCCCAGGCCGCCUCCUGAUUUCUCAGCCAGCCUGCAGACAGGCUAGGAAGGACAGGAGACCAGAACCAGCUCCCAUAGGACUUGGGGAAGGGAUGUAUAAUCGACAUAUGGGCUGGGAUUGCCCCAGUAAAGACAGGUUUUGCUGACACAGUAGAAGGAGAGGAAAGGGAAAGAGACUGGAGAGAAAGAAAAGAGGGAAGCAUGAAGCUCCGUAAAGAGCUGAGUGAAUCAUCGGGUCAUUUUUUUUUUUUUUUUUUUUUAAUGUUUACUAUUUUUGAGAGAGAGAGAGAAAAAGAGAGCGAAUGAGCAA